GCCUCUUCUUCGGAGGAGCGAAUGAAGUUUGGCGGUUGGAGAGAAAAGAGAGGAGUGGGGUCGUCAAUCCCCCUCCUUCUGUUCUUUUUGGCCCCGCCCCUUAGUUCUCUGAGGCUACUUGCCGGGCGUAGCCCCGCCCACCCCUUCAGUUCCUCGGGUGGCGGUUGGGCUCCUGUCUCGCGCAAGGGGGAUUUCCGCGGAGAAGCCUCCUCUCUUCCUCUUGUUUUCCCCUCCUCACCCCUCCCCCGCCGCGAGGACAAGGCGCGCGCGCGCCUCCAGGUCUCCAGGGCAACGAUGCAGUUUAUGUUGCUUUUUAGUCGUCAGGGGAAGCUGAGACUUCAGAAAUGGUAUGUCCCAUUGUCUGACAAAGAAAAGAAGAAAAUCACAAGAGAACUUGUUCAAACAGUCUUAGCCCGAAAACCGAAAAUGUGCAGCUUUCUGGAAUGGAGAGACCUGAAGAUUGUCUACAAAAGAUAUGCAAGCCUCUACUUCUGUUGUGCCAUUGAAGAUCAGGAUAAUGAGCUAAUUACUCUGGAAAUAAUUCAUCGUUAUGUAGAAUUGCUCGACAAAUAUUUUGGAAGUGUAUGUGAACUUGAUAUUAUCUUCAAUUUUGAAAAGGCUUAUUUUAUUUUGGAUGAAUUUCUCUUGGGAGGGGAAGUACAGGAAACUUCAAAGAAAAAUGUUCUUAAAGCCAUUGAACAGGCAGAUCUAUUACAGGAGAGCCAGAAUGAAGACUGGGGAGGUUUGUCUGAGGAUAUCUUAUGAUUAAGAACAGUCUAAAGGCUUAGCGUUUUGAUCCCAUCCGUACAAUUGGAUGCUAAAGAAGCGGAGACCCCUCGUAGUGUACUUGAAGAAAUUGGACUGACAUAAACCUCGUUUGCUGAUGUCUUACAUGGUGUUUCAUAUACCUGUAAAUGUUCACUGCCUCCAUUUAAUGUUAGCUAAUGGUGUUAUGAUGCUAUUUGUCAGUAUUACUGUUCUGCUGAGCUACUUCAUUCAGGCCUACAAGAAAAAAACCCAUUUACUGUGAAAUUGGAAAAGGGAGCAUAAUUUUAAAAAGCUUUUGUGGAAAAAAAUUAAAAGGGAUUUUAAGCAACAGUAACAUAAAUAAUAAAUGGCAAUUAAGGUGAUUUCAUAAAAAUUUACUUUGCCAUCAUGUGUCAGAUAAUUUUACAUUAUGCCAUAUACUGAAAAACAGUAACAUGGUAAGAAAGUGAAAUGUGUUAACAUAGAACUUGGCUUUGUGUAACCAAAGACUCGUUAUUAUACAGUCAGCAUUUGUUAAAACUCAGUUUAGGUUAUUACAUAAGAUUGGGGGGAAAUAACUUUGUGACUAUUUCAUUUAUACCAAAGAAUCUUAUUAAGGUCUGUAAAAUCAAACUAUUGUGAACUGUCUUGGUAGCUUCAUUUCUAAUAAUUGAAUUUUAAAGGAUUUCAUUAGAAAUUCUAAUGAAUGAGAUCAUGAUGAGAUUGUAAAUUCAAUCAGAAAACUGAGUUAAUGCAUUGCAAAGAGAAAUAGGUUGGGGUCAUAAUGAUUUUUUUUAAAAAAAAACUUAUCUUUUUUUUACUAAAUUUAAAUGCUUUCUGAAUUGAAUACAUAGUCUUUUGGAAAGUGUAAAGGAAAAUUAAUUCAAAACACACUGAGAUACAGUGAUAUAAUCCCAAAGGGAAACAUGUAGAAAGAGAAUAUUACCAAGCUUCAAUCUGUCUUUAACAUUUUUACAAGUAUCAUCCACUUUAUGUCUAAACUAGGACUUGAGCAGCUGCUUGUAGAGUUUGAAAAUAUGUAGCUAUAUAUCAGUCUUCAUAUCACCUUGCACAAGGUUAGGUUUUGUUAAAAUGCAUUUCUUUGUAUCAUAGAAACAAGCCUUAAAAUGGAAACUUUGUUUAAAUCACUGCCAUGUUUUCACAAGAAAAAAACCAGGCUGCAAUGACAUGCACAUUUUACUUGGCAGUAGGCCCCAAUAUAACAGGACCUGCUUCCAAAUAAACUUGCAUAGGUUUAGGCUGCAAAGGUAUCACAAAGCCAUAACUUAUUUACUCUAAUGUGUGUUUUGCUGUAUAUCCUAUAUCUUAGUGCUUGGAAAGCUUCAGUACAGAGCACAUGCUGUGAAAAGCAGUGUAACUUCCCCCAUAUGUAAUAACCUGUAUGUGUUCUCACUUGGCAACUUCUCCAUGUAACGACUUGCUGUGAUUGGUGUAUUUAAAAGCAUUCAAAUGCUUUAAACAGUGCCACGAAUUUGAAACAUAGUUGUUUCUUGCUUCAUUAACUACAGCAGAAGCCUUAUGAAAAUAAUCAUGUUUGCAUAAGGUACACAGGAGUUGUGUUCUACAUUUCACUCUGGGAAAACAUGGACUAAUGAAUUUCAGGUGAUGUUAGAGUGGCCCUUUGCAUGACACUGAAGGGACAGAAAUACUUGCCACUGAAAAGCAGUUUUUGUUUGUAUUCAAACCAUAUUUAAAGUUUACACUGUUGCCUUGUAUGUGCUUGGUUGGAAAAGCUUUGUGAUUGUGACAUGCGCUAUGUGGACACUGUCUUAGUAUCACACCAGUUUAGUUGUAAUAAAUGUCCAUUUCUACUCCA